AGAGUUUGAUCAUGGCUCAGGAUGAACGCUGGCGGCGUGCCUAACGCAUGCAAGUCGAGCGAGGGCCAUCUGGUGGCAACACCGGGUGGUGCCUAGCGGCGAACGGGUGAGUAACACGUGGGCAACCUGCCCCCGACUCUGGGAUAAGCCAGGGAAACUGGGCCUAAUACCGGAUAUGACCGCUGACCGCAUGGUCUGGUGGUGGAAAGAUUUAUCGGCUGGGGAUGGGCCCGCGGCCUAUCAGCUUGUUGGUGGGGUAGUGGCCUACCAAGGCGACGACGGGUAGCCGGCCUGAGAGGGUGACCGGCCACACUGGGACUGAGACACGGCCCAGACUCCUACGGGAGGCAGCAGUGGGGAAUAUUGCGCAAUGGGCGAAAGCCUGACGCAGCGACGCCGCGUGGGGGAUGACGGCCUUCGGGUUGUAAACCUCUUUCAGCAGGGACGAAGCGCAAGUGACGGUACCUGCAGAAGAAGCACCGGCCAACUACGUGCCAGCAGCGGCGGUAAUUC
rnacentral:rRNA from 1 species